UGGAACAGAGGAGUCUGUGUCCCCAGAAAGUCCUCGUAGCGAGCAACAUGGGGUUGUUGAUGAGCUCUUCCUCCCUAGGGCUGCUGUUGUUGCCCCUGGGCGAUGUGCCUCAGCAGCUCAGUUUGAGCGGCCAAGAUCGCCUCUAGCAUGGGCGGAUGCGGAGGCGGUGGAGGCACCUGCCUCUGCUCACUGCCACUGGGAAUAGAGCCGGAGCGGGUGCGGUGCGCCAUCUGCAAGAGUCAUCUUUCCAUUAGUCACAUAAUCCCCAAAAGCUUUCCAAUCAUAAGGGAAAUUAUGUGAUGAAUCUUUAAAUGCUAAUCUUUCUGAUAGUGCAAACACAACAAUCACAUCUUUUAUUGAGUAGGUGCAUAUCUCUCCCCCUCGGCCAUUUCAGUCAGCAAUUCGAUGGCUCCUAGCGCACCAACUGUCGGUGUCACAAUCACGGCCCAGAUUGUGGCAAGUAUUUGUUUUCUAUGCGUAAGGCUCGGAUGGUAGCCAUCGGGGCCGUCCGAUCCGUAGUGUCCGGGGUCAGGCGAGGCGAAGCUCUGUCUCGUAGGUCCGAAUAUGUCCGACCCGUAACGCCCGGGGUCGGGUGAGGCGGAGACCCACCGCAAGGGUCAGGCACGUCUGACCUGGCUGCGAGGGGUCGGGCGCGUCCGACCAAGUGACCCGGGGUCGCCCAAGUCAGCGGAGGUCACCGUUUCUGUUUUGGGGCUGAUUUUUGGCAAGCUGAGCUGCGGUGUUUUGGUUCUAACGCGAGUUUGAUAGAUCCAAAGGAUCUGAAAUUUAACGAGCAGUUAGAACAAAUAUUUCCGCACAACUUUGGUAUUCAAUUCUUGGAUCAAAAAAGAGUGGAGACAGGGUAAAGCUGAGGACAAACAGCCACAGAAUUUCUGCCAUAAACUUUCGAACAUUACCCUAAUUGGUAGCAACGGCAGAUCUACACAUGGAAUCAGUUCUUCAACACCCGACUACUCAACUCAGGCUAACCUAUUACAUCACUGGCCAAAACUAUAGGUUGCUGAGGAGUACAACAAAAGAAACUGCUCUUCAACAAGUCGAUUCAUCUAAAAGUCGUCUAGGUUGCCUACAGAGGUAAUGCUGAGUGCAGGAGACUGUGCAUUGCCAAAUCGAGGCUGCAGAGCGGCCUCCUCAAAAUCCAUGCUCGAAAAGCCCUCGAUCUCCUCGGGCUCCUCCUCCUGAACCAUAGGCUCAUCCAACUGUACCUCCAAGCGUGGAUAGCCUCGAGCUCAGCGUGGUGCUCCUGUAGGUGCUCAUUAGCGUUCGCCAGCUCCAUGUUCACAUCUAGAACUGGUCGGCUAGCAUCUCCAUGUCGUGCUCCAUCUCUACUUUCU
rnacentral:lncRNA from 1 species